UACGUAGGGUGCAAGCGUUGUCCGGAAUUAUUGGGCGUAAAGAGCUCGUAGGCGGUCUGUCGCGUCGGCUGUGAAAUCCCGAGGCUCAACCUCGGGUCUGCAGUCGAUACGGGCAAACUGGAGUGUUGCAGGGGAGACUGGAAUUCCUGGUGUAGCGGUGAAAUGCGCAGAUAUCAGGAGGAACACCGGUGGCGAAGGCGGAUCUCUGGCACGUUACUGACGCUGAGGCUCGAAAGCAUGGGGGAGCAAACGGGG
rnacentral:rRNA from 1 species